GGGCUAACGGCUAGCGUUUCGGUGUGCUCACGUUUAAAUAAACGGAGAGCGGUGAGCUGUUUCAAGACAUUGGUCCUCAUCCCCAAGUUGUAGGCUACUACCAGAGAGGAGAUGGAGUGAGAAUCGGCAGUUGACUUCUGAUCUGAUGGUGGGAGGUUUUGCUUGGACCAGUUCGUCUGUUUAUCCUGGGUCGAAGGGGCAUUGGGGGCUGAGGCCUUGGGUCUGUGGCCUACCAGGAUCUCACCACCUUCACCUUCCCCUGUCGAAGUAGCCUGAAAGGAACAGACGGACAGCAGCAACAUUAUAUACUUGGUGCAGUGUCAGCAACUUGCAGUGUCAUCAUCAGGACUUGCAUGCCAACAGCACCGAGAGAGGGAAGGAGAGGAGGUACAGCAAAAAAAGAAAAAAGGAAGAAAAAAAGAAGGUAGAAAACACUAUGUAACAAAGAAAUGCAGUGCAAUACACAAAAGACAGUAAUGCAGC